UACGAAGGGUGCAAGCGUUAAUCGGAAUUACUGGGCGUAAAGCGUGCGUAGGUGGUUUCCUAAGUCCGUUGUGAAAGCCCUGGGCUCAACCUGGGAACGGCAGUGGAUACUGGGAAGCUGGAGUGCGGUAGAGGAUGGCGGAAUUCCCGGUGUAGCGGUGAAAUGCGUAGAUAUCGGGAGGAACAUCAGUGGCGAAGGCGGCCAUCUGGGCCAGCACUGACGAUGAGGCACGAAAGAGUGGGGAGCAAACAGG
rnacentral:rRNA from 1 species